UCGGUGAAGAGCGGCGGACGGGUGAGUAACGCGUGGGUAACCUGCCUCCUACACAUGGAUAACAUACCGAAAGGUAUACUAAUACAAGAUAACAUAAGAGAUUCGCAUGUUUCUCUUAUCAAAGCUCCGGCGGUAUGAGAUGGACCCGCGUCUGAUUAGCUAGUUGGUAAGGUAAUGGCUUACCAAGGCGACGAUCAGUAGCCGACCUGAGAGGGUGAUCGGCCACAUUGGAACUGAGACACGGUCCAAACUCCUACGGGAGGCAGCAGUGGGGAAUAUUGCACAAUGGGCGAAAGCCUGAUGCAGCAACGCCGCGUGAGUGAUGAAGGCCUUCGGGUCGUAAAACUCUGUCCUCAAGGAAGAUAAUGACGGUACUUGAGGAGGAAGCCCCGGCUAACUACGUGCCAGCAGCCGCGGUAAUACGUAGGGGGCUAGCGUUAUCCGGAUUUACUGGGCGUAAAGGGUGCGUAGGUGGUUUCUUAAGUCAGGAGUGAAAGGCUACGGCUUAACCGUAGUAAGCUCUUGAAACUGGGAAACUUGAGUGCAGGAGAGGAAAGUGGAAUUCCUAGUGUAGCGGUGAAAUGCGUAGAUAUUAGGAGGAACACCAGUAGCGAAGGCGGCUUUCUGGACUGUAACUGACACUGAGGCACGAAAGCGUGGGGAGCAAACAGGAUUAGAUACCCUGGUAGUCCACGCCGUAAACGAUGAGUACUAGGUGUCGGGGGUUACCCCCCUCGGUGCCGCAGCUAACGCAUUAAGUACUCCGCCUGGGGAGUACGCUCGCAAGAGUGAAACUCAAAGGAA
rnacentral:rRNA from 1 species